UACGUAGGGGGCAAGCGUUGUCCGGAAUUAUUGGGCGUAAAGAGCGCGUAGGCGGUCCGAUAAGUCGGCUGUGAAAGUCAAGGGCCCAACCCUUGAAAGCCGGCCGAUACUGUCGGACUAGAGUCCGGAAGAGGCAAGUGGAAUUCCCGGUGAUGAGCGGUGAAAUGACGCAGAUAUCGGGAGGAACACCAAUGGCGAAGGCAGCUUGCUGGGACGGUACUGACGCUCAUGCACGAAAAGCGGUGGGGAGCGAACAGG
rnacentral:rRNA from 1 species